rnacentral:rRNA from 1 species
GAUGAACGCUAGCUACAGGCUUAACACAUGCAAGUCGAGGGGAAACGACAUUGGAAGCUUGCUUCCGAUGGGCGUCGACCGGCGCACGGGUGAGUAACGCGUAUCCAACCUGCCCACCACUUGGGGAUAACCUUGCGAAAGUAAGACUAAUACCCAAUGACGUCCAUAGAAGACAUCUGAAGUGGAUUAAAGAUUUAUCGGUGAUGGAUGGGGAUGCGUCUGAUUAGCUUGUUGGCGGGGUAACGGCCCACCAAGGCGACGAUCAGUAGGGGUUCUGAGAGGAAGGUCCCCCANACUGGAACUGAGACACGGUCCAGACUCCUACGGGAGGCAGCAGUGAGGAAUAUUGGUCAAUGGGCGAAAGCCUGACGCAGCGACGCCGCGUGCGGGACGAA